rnacentral:rRNA from 1 species
CGGCAGGCCUAACACAUGCAAGUCGAACGGUAGCACAGAGAGCUUGCUCUCGGGUGACGAGUGGCGGACGGGUGAGUAAUGUCUGGGAAACUGCCUGAUGGAGGGGGAUAACUACUGGAAACGGUAGCUAAUACCGCAUAACGUCGCAAGACCAAAGAGGGGGACCUUCGGGCCUCUUGCCAUCAGAUGUGCCCAGAUGGGAUUAUCUAGUAGGUGGGGUAACGGCUCACCUAGGCGACAAUCCCUAGCUGGUCUGAGAGGAUGACCAGCCACACUGGAACUGAGACACGGUCCAGACUCCUACGGG